rnacentral:lncRNA from 1 species
UCGUUGCCUAAAAGUGAGGGGAGAGCCUGAAAAUUUGAGAACUUAGAUUCGAGAAAGGAAUUUUGAGAAUCAGAAGAGUUGGGAGCUGACAGAAUAAGAAAAGCUAAAAGUAGAUCAGAUUUUAUGAGGUUUUUACAGAUUUCACUGUUUUAUUGAAGAUCCCUAAAAUCCUUUAAAUCUCUACUCUAAAAUGCUUCCUGAAUAACUAGAAGGGGUAAAAAUGAGUUGAAUUUAGCUUGGUAUUCAAGUGUUUGGAUCAACUUUUGGGUCGGAUUUUGCCUGAUGGGUCUAUUUACUCCUGUUGUUGAGGCAAAAUCAUUUCAAAUCUGGUUUCUCUUGCUUAUCUCUGGUGUCUAUUGCUGUUAACUCCUGCUCCUGUUAUUACUGCUGCUGAACUUGUUGCCUCUUACUCCUUCCCUACUUCUUUCUUUUUCCAGGUAUAUCCUCAAACUGUAGUGGAAUGAAUUCUGUUGAACAAGACUGUAUGAAAACCUGAAUUCAAACUGAAGUUUAAAUUGAACUACUGGCUUCUGGUGUAUUUGUGACCGUUUUUUAUCAUUAUGUGUGCUUGAAUUAUUUAUUGCUUAUGUAAAUUCAAGUUUGGAGUAUACUGGACUAUUG